AUUAUUCUCAAAAUUACUUUGCAAAAGGCUAAAUAUUAAUUUUGCAUUUUCUCAAUCAUGAGAGUUCUUUGAAACGUUCAUGGUACAGAGUAGUAUGAAAUGGUACACCAGGCAGUACUGUGAAUUCUCCAUUAUUCAAGAGUCUUUCCUCAAGCAGAGACUUCAGGCAAUUUGUGACUUUGUGAUCAAUUGCUUGUAGCUGUUUUUUGGUUUUCCCACUUACAAAGCUACGAACACUGUUUUUGUUUGUUUGUUUUUUAGGAUAAUAAUUUAGGCCGGCUCUUGAGGAGAAAAUUGCAAUAAUAAUCAGUGAUUGCAACACGUUUUAGAAAAACGUAAGAUUGAAAAAUAGAUUUACUGUGUUCACCAACAGAUUCACUGAAAACUAAGAGACAGUCCUGGAGUGUGGUCUAGCGAAGAAGAUGAUUCACCUGCAGAUAAUUUAGAAUGUUCCGUGGUUUUUGCUCUGAUGGAGGGUUUCUCCUGUUGUGGCCUCAGAGCUGUUGGUUUUCUUCUGCCUCGUCCACUUCUCCAGGCAGAAGUACAUCAGCGGUUGAUUUCCCCAGAGCAAGAAAAGAAGCAGUAAAAGAUUUGAAGGGAUACGUGGUAGUGAUGCAGGGAAACGUGCCUCGAAGCUGCAGAACUGUGGGCUGGUGGGGACACCGCUUCAUGACCAGGUAAGGAGAAAGAGGGAGGGAAAUGGAUGGGGAAUCUGUUAGGAAGAGGGAGGAAACCUUAGAGAAUUCAGAAAGGGAAGACUGGAGAGGCUCUGGCGAGGUGCUCCAUAGAAUGGAGUAAAGCCUGAGCAAAGAUAGGUCCCAGGACCACUGCCUUAAGCCUAGCUCCAGCAAGGAGCUUCUCUCCUUCUCUCCCCCCGACUUACCAUAUUGCCAAACACCAGUGUGGUUCUGGCCUAGGCAUGUCAUUCCCGGAUGACCUCCAGCCUCUCGCCCUCUGAGCUGUGAUUCCUUCUGCCCCAGAGGUCUCUUUCUGAAACACAGAUCAGAUCGUAUGUCCUCUGAUUUGAAAUCAUUUUGAAUGGGUGAAAGACGAGUGAAAUGUCUCCAAAGAAAUUGUAUAGUAAGCACGUGGAAAGAUGCUUACUGUUACGAUAAUUAGGGAAAUGCAAAUCAAAACGACAAUGAGAGAGCACUUCACAUUCAUUAGGAUGGCUAUUAUAUAUAUUAAAAAAAAAAAAAAACAGAAAAUACCAAGUAUUGGUGAGGAUGUGGAGAAAUUGAAACCCUGGUGCAUUGGUGGUGGGAAUGUAAAGUGCCUCAGCCACCGUGGAGAACAAUAGGGAGGGUCCUCAAAAAAAUUAAACAAGUAGUUCCCAUUUGAUCCAGCAAUUCCACUUCUGGGUGUACUCCCCAAAGGAGUGCAAGCAGGAGCUCAA
rnacentral:lncRNA from 1 species